rnacentral:rRNA from 1 species
ACACUCCUGCGGGAGGCAGCAGUGGGGAAUAUUGCACAAUGGGCGCAAGCCUGAUGCAGCCAUGCCGCGUGUAUGAAGAAGGCCUUCGGGUUGUAAAGUACUUUCAGCGGGGAGGAAGGCGAUAAGGUUAAUAACCUUGUCGAUUGACGUUACCCGCAGAAGAAGCACCGGCUAACUCCGUGCCAGCAGCCGCGGUAAUACGGAGGGUGCAAGCGUUAAUCGGAAUUACUGGGCGUAAAGCGCACGCAGGCGGUCUGUCAAGUCGGAUGUGAAAUCCCCGGGCUCAACCUGGGAACUGCAUUCGAAACUGGCAGGCUAGAGUCUUGUAGAGGGGGGUAGAAUUCCAGGUGUAGCGGUGAAAUGCGUAGAGAUCUGGAGGAAUACCGGUGGCGAAGGCGGCCCCCUGGACAAAGACUGACGCUCAGGUGCGAAAGCGUGGGGAGCAAACAGGAUUAGAAACCCCAGUAGUCCC